rnacentral:rRNA from 1 species
UACGUAGGAUGCAAGCGUUGUCCGGAUUUAUUGGGUUUAAAGGGUGCGAAGGCGGCCUAUUAAGUUAGUGGGGAAAACGUUCGGCUUAACCGUAUACCCGCCAUUGAUAUUGAUAGACUUGAGUGCGUCAGAGGGUGUUGGAAUGUGUGGUGUAGCGGUGAAAUGCUUAGAUAUCACGCAGAACACCAAUUGCGAAGGCAGAUGCCUAUGUCGUAACUGACGCUGAGGCACGAAAGCGUGGGGAGUAAACAGG